rnacentral:rRNA from 1 species
GACGAACGCUGGCGGCGUGCUUAACACAUGCAAGUCGAACGGAAAGGCCCUGCUUUUGUGGGGUGCUCGAGUGGCGAACGGGUGAGUAACACGUGAGUAACCUGCCCUUGACUUUGGGAUAACUUCAGGAAACUGGGGCUAAUACCGGAUAGGAGCUCCUGCUGCAUGGUGGGGGUUGGAAAGUUUCGGCGGUUGGGGAUGGACUCGCGGCUUAUCAGCUUGUUAGUGGGGUAGUGGCUUACCAAGGCUUUGACGGGUAGCCGGCCUGAGAGGGUGACCGGCCACAUUGGGACUGAGAUACGGCCCAGACUCCUACGGGAGGCAGAAGGGGGUAAUAUUGCACAAUGGGCGGAGGCUUGACGCAGCAACGCCGCGUGCGGGAUGACGGCUUUCGGGUUGUAAACCGCUUUCGCGUGUGACGAAGCGUGAGUGACGGUAAUGGUGAAAGAAGCACCGGCUAACUACG